AUGCAAGUCGAGCGGGCAUAGCAAUAUGUCAGCGGCAGACGGGUGAGUAACGCGUGGGAACGUACCUUUUGGUUCGGAACAACUGAGGGAAACUUCAGCUAAUACCGGAUAAGCCCUUACGGGGAAAGAUUUAUCGCCGAAAGAUCGGCCCGCGUCUGAUUAGCUAGUUGGUGAGGUAAUGGCUCACCAAGGCGACGAUCAGUAGCUGGUCUGAGAGGAUGAUCAGCCACAUUGGGACUGAGACACGGCCCAAACUCCUACGGGAGGCAGCAGUGGGGAAUAUUGGACAAUGGGCGCAAGCCUGAUCCAGCCAUGCCGCGUGAGUGAUGAAGGCCCUAGGGUUGUAAAGCUCUUUUGUGCGGGAAGAUAAUGACGGUACCGCAAGAAUAAGCCCCGGCUAACUUCGUGCCAGCAGCCGCGGUAAUACGAAGGGGGCUAGCGUUGCUCGGAAUCACUGGGCGUAAAGGGUGCGUAGGCGGGUCUUUAAGUCAGGGGUGAAAUCCUGGAGCUCAACUCCAGAACUGCCUUUGAUACUGAAGAUCUUGAGUUCGGGAGAGGUGAGUGGAACUGCGAGUGUAGAGGUGAAAUUCGUAGAUAUUCGCAAGAGCACCAGUGGCGAAGGC
rnacentral:rRNA from 1 species